GGCCACACCCUUGUUGCAAGUCUCGCGAGAGGGUCAGGAAACUCUCCCGUUUUACUCCUGCCUCAGGCCUCAGCCACCACAGUAAGUGUCACUCUAUGCCUCCACCUCACCUGGCUGGGUGGAGCCUCUAAACUCAGGAUUUUGCCUUGAGCUGUGGCUCUGCCCUCAGGUUGACAGGGUCCAGAGCAAAACCUACGGAAGGAGCUGCAGAGGCCAGGUGGAGGGAAGGAUGCUGAACUGGAGGAGGCCAGGAAAUUAUGAGGUGAUUCUAGGCACAUUAAAAUCCGGAUGACACUUACUUGAAUCAUUUCGCAACUUGGAGAGAGAUGGAGAAGACCUGCAUGGUGUAACUGGGCGUCACCAGAAUGUGCACUGCCAUCUGUGGCUGUCUUCCUGCUGGCAAAUCCUUUUCAUUCCAAGCAAAUAAGAUUCCCUAAAUUAGACAAAAAGGAAAAAACCACAACAGAGUCCAUAAUUCUGAGAGGAAGAGAAGAGUGAUCAUCAGUGGCAAAAGGCAAUUGCAGAGAAGCACCACCAAGAGCUGGCUUCAUGCUCAGGAGUGAAUGCUGAGCCGCCUCCUUGUGGUUUCCGGUGCUCCACAUGUUCAGAGAAACUUCUCUGUUGUACUAUAAUUCCUAUCCCAGAAGGCCUCUAAAGCUAUCUUACCCAAGAGAAAAAAAGAUCCUUUGAAGACUAAGAUCGCAUGAAAGCAUAAACAUCACGAAAUGGACCUGAGGUAGGGAUUGAAAGCGAUGGUUUCCCCAGGGCCAUGAGCCAGUCAAGCACCCGAAGAAAUUGAGGGGGAGAACUGUUUCUGGAAAGUGUAUUGGAUGGUUCCCUUAAUUGACACUCCAUGUCACAUAAUUAACACAAGAAAAAAUUAGAAUCUCGGGACCUUGCCAUAUAAAAUGAUGUUCAGAAAACAGAGCCUAAUGCUUUGAGGCUGAACUUGAAGCUCCAGUGGAUCAUCACAAAAUUUAAACCGUACGAUCGCAACCACCCUGGAUGCCACCAAGGGACACAGUCUGGAGACCCACUUGGAAGCCUUUGGAUACUUCUUUCUGUCAACACCUAUUCUCACUGCUGAACCCCUAAAGCCAGUUCCUUUAUUUUCAGAUUGGGGUAAUAGCCUCCUAGGUGGGAGAACACUGAGAGAGGCCACCUAAAUUUCAGCAAAGCAUUUUAGUAAGUUUCUCAUGACAUUUUUGUGGUCAUGACAAAUAGAUAUGGUCUCAUUGUAAUAUGUUUGAGUAGUACAGUCAGGCACCACAUAAUGAUGCUUUGGACAAGGAUGGACCACAUGUAGGAGGGUGGUCCCAGGAGAUUAUAAUGGAGCUGAAAUUUUUCUAUUGCCUGGCAUUUAUCAUAAUGUGCUUUUUAUCAUUUAUCAUUAUUUUAGAGUAUACUUCUUUUUUGUUGUUUUUUGAGACUGAGUCUUGCUCUGUUGUCCAGGCUGGAGUGCAGUGGCACGAUCUGAGCUACUACGACUUCCACCUACCAGGUUCAAUUGAUUCUUGUUCCUCAGCCUCCCAAGUAGCUGGGAUUACAGGCGCCUGCUACCACACCUGGCUAAUUUUUGUAUUUUUAGUAGAGACGGGGUUUCACCAUGUUGGCCAGGCUGGUCUUGAACUCCUGACCUCGUGAUCUGCUUGCCUCAGCCUCCCAAAGUGCUGGGAUUACAGGUGUGAGCCACUGCACCCAGCCUACUUUAUUUUUUUAUUUUUUACUUUUAAAAAGGGUAACUGUACAACAGCCUCAGGCAGGUCCUUCAGGAGCUAUUCCAGAAGAAGGCAUUGUUAUCACAGGAGAUGACUGCUCCAUGUGUGCCACUGCCCCUGAAGACCUCCCAGUGGGACAAGGCGUGGAGGUGGAAGACAGUGGUAUUGAUGAUCCUCACCCUGUGGAGGCCAAAGCAAAUGUGUGUAUUUGUGUCUUAGUUUUUAAUAAAAAAGCCUUAAAAGUUAAAAACGAAUUUUUAAAUAGCAAAAUCUGAUAGAAUACGGAUAUAAAAAGAAAUAUUUUUUUACAGCUGUA